GAGGUUUUACGUUAGAGAGAGAGAGAGAGAGAGAGAGAGAGAGAGAGAGAGAGAGAGCAACGGUGGAGGGAGAAGAAGGAGAAGAAGGAAGGAAGAGGGAAUUAAGGAUUAGAACUUGAAUUGAAGACCUUCUUUGGUUCGGAGGCGACAACGAGUACCGCAGCUCCACGUAGGGAGUGACUGCGUUGGUUUUCUUUUUGUUGGAGACCGAGUUUUGCAGGUAUAGGUCGGUGUCCACUACAGGUCACAUUUUGCGUUUUUGUGACUCGCCUGAGAAGUGCGUGGUUGAGGCCUGAGAGAGUCCUUGUCUCCUGGCCCGUAGAUGAUUUUUGCUUGGUUUAGUUUUGGAUAUUAGUUGGUUAUGUUUAUUUCUUGACAGACUUCCGCUGUAGUUUGUAAAUGACAAUCAUUUUUGAGAUGUAAAUAAAAUGUGGCUUUUAAACUUCAAUAUUUAAUUAUUCUUGGAAUUGCUAGUAACUGGUUGUUGUUGGGCUGUUGUCGCGUGUCGUAUCGGGAUAGGCCGAUGAGGU